AUUGAACGCUGGCGGCAUGCUUUACACAUGCAAGUCGAACGGCAGCGCGGGCUUCGGCCUGGCGGCGAGUGGCGAACGGGUGAGAAAUGCAUCGGAACGUGCCCAGUAGUGGGGGAUAGCCCGGCGAAAGCCGGAUUAAUACCGCAUACGACCUGAGGGUGAAAGCGGGGGACCGAAAGGCCUCGCGCUAUUGGAGCGGCCGAUGUCGGAUUAGCUAGUUGGUGGGGUAAAGGCUUACCAAGGCGACGAUCCGUAGCUGGUCUGAGAGGACGACCAGCCACACUGGGACUGAGACACGGCCCAGACUCCUACGGGAGGCAGCAGUGGGGAAUUUUGGACAAUGGGGGCAACCCUGAUCCAGCCAUGCCGCGUGCGGGAAGAAGGCCUUCGGGUUGUAAACCGCUUUUGUUCGGGAAGAAAUCCUCUGGGCUAAUACCCCGGGGGGAUGACGGUACCGGAAGAAUAAGCACCGGCUAACUACGUG
rnacentral:rRNA from 1 species